CAGUAGCCGCGGUAAUACAGAGGGUGCAAGCGUUAAUCGGAAUUACUGGGCGUAAAGCGCGCGUAGGUGGUUUGUUAAGUUGGAUGUGAAAUCCCCGGGCUCAACCUGGGAACUGCAUCCAAAACUGGCAAGCUAGAGUAUGGUAGAGGGUGGUGGAAUUUCCUGUGUAGCGGUGAAAUGCGUAGAUAUAGGAAGGAACACCAGUGGCGAAGGCGACCACCUGGACUGAUACUGACACUGAGGUGCGAAAGCGUGGGGAGCAAACAGGAUUAGAUACCCCUGUAGUCCCUGUCUCUUAUAU
rnacentral:rRNA from 1 species